GCCUGCGCACUCCACUCUUGUUUGCCGAUAGCUCCAUGUCCCUCCCGUUCAGCCCAUCUCUCUCCCACGUCAUCUAGAAAUCUCAGGACAAAAAGAAGGCCACGGAACGAUCUGGAGAAAUCGCUACUGUCGGUGCGCUCCGUCCCCCAACGAAUCUCAAGCCUCACCGCCGACCACCACCAGGACCCUCUAAUCCUCGUCGUCUCCACCUCCCGGCCCCCUUCCCAGUCUGCCUGACUUGGUCCUUGGCAAGUAGGUUGUCGAUGCAGCCCUCUCCGGUGUUGACUUCACAAGUUCGCCGUCGGCGCCGUUCGUGCCCCAACGGCUCUGUUGCGUCCUCGCUUUCCUGCGGCAGCAGCCCCACCUCCGACCACAACCACCUCCCCCUCCUCAUAGCCGUCUCAUCGGCGCCCUUCCCUGUCUCCUUCAACGCUGACAUCCGCAAGUACGUCGGCGGCGGCGCCACCACCUACUCCUACUUCCCCUCCCUGCCAACGCGUUCCAUGCUGGUCACACUCCCAUGGAUCUCACUGCCCUUCACCUUCUGAAUUCUGAUCUGACAAGGACCAAUGUAUGGGUACUGAUGAAAGAAUAAAAUCUCCUUGUGCAAUUGCAGAUAUGUGAUGGUAUCAGUUGGCGCUACCUUAUUGUGUCCAAAGUAUCAUUAUUCUACAAUAUCAGCUACUGUAUCUAUACCAGUGUCCGAAGCAACAAUGUUUGGUUUCAAUUUCGUUUCUUAAUUCUUCUUGUCGAAUGAAACUUUAAGUAUUAAGUAUUAUAUAAAGGAAUAGUUGCAUGGAAAAUUUGAAUAAGAAGACAGACCAUAUUCAUUGAAUAUUAUACAGGCCAUAAUUUUGUGUUAAAAGUUACUCUCUCCGUACCAAAAUAUAAGAUGUUUUUGACACUGUCAUAGUGUCAAAAAAUGUCUUAUAUUUUGAUACAGAGUGUAUUUAGUACACCAAAAUUUCUUGAUGAUCACAAUAGAUCAGUUUUGGCAUGUACUAAACUGGAAGCUAUAUGUCGUUGCAUUGUUCUUUAAAAUGGCUGUCGGUUUUCCUUUGACAGGUACAUCUCCAUCUCCUACAUUGUGUAAGUGAUUGGGAGUAGCCUGCUGAAUUUCCAUAAAUUUGGUUUGGGAUGUGGUUAGUACAGUUUUGCACACCUUUCUCCAGGAGAACUUUCUUUUUCAGUACACUUUUCAUUUGAUCCUUGAUCAAUGAAAAAUUCCGACUUCUUACUUUGUGCACUGGUUUCCUAGCAAGUCACCGUUUUAAUUUGAAGCUCUGGCAAGAAAUUCAUGUGUUUCCUCCUUAGGAACAGAGGAACUCUGUGAUGUUACACGGGCACUUUUCUCCAUGUCAACGCAAGAUUGGGAAGGUUUAGAAGAUAGUGCUUUUGCUGGAGAUGAAAAUUCAUAGAUGACGCCCCAUUGGUAGAGGAGUAGACAAAAGGUCAUUGAGGGCAAAACAAAGGAUGAAAGUUUGUCCAAUUUCCUGUGCUUGGGUAUGGCUGGUUUGUAAGCAAAGGAAGAUACUCUGCGUUUUUAUAGUGGUAUAUAUUGUUUAGUGAGGGGGUGGACUCUGUUUUUCUAGAUGGGCGAUACUCUGCUUUUUCUUUGACAACUGGAAGACACUCUGCUUUUUUUUGACAACUGGAAGAUACUCUGCUUUGUGGCAAGGGGAUAUAUCGUGUUACUUCUCCCCCUUUUUGUAUAUCUAAGUUUAAUAACAAGAUUAUACUCUUUGUUAAUUUUCCAUGGCGUAACUUUGUAACGGUGUGUUUCUCGUGUCGAGGCCAAUAUGCUUCAUGAGACGAUUAGUUUUAAGUAAGCAUAAAAAACAUUGUACUACAUUUUAGCAUAAAAAACAUUGCACUGAAGUUGUACUACAUUUAAUUUGCGACUGAUGGGGUACUUGAUUGUGUACCACUCUAUUUUGUCCAUCACGCAAGGCUCUCCUUGUGUUUUUCUUUUUUUCUCUCCGCUUCUUUGUUUGUUUGGCAAAGGACAAAUUUCUUCAUGCUUUUACUUCUAUCUUCAUACAUGUACUAAAAUACACAUGUUGUAAUCCAUGCAUACGCCGUUCAUCUCAAUUUUAGAGCAGCAUUGCUGGAAUCUAUUUGUGCUUUGUCUCGGGAAAUCAGGAAUGAUGCCACCACAUAUUAGUAAAUUACUAGCAAGAUGCCCCUGCGUUGCACGGAA